rnacentral:rRNA from 1 species
GACGAACGCUGGCGGCGUGCUUAACACAUGCAAGUGGAGCGACGAACCGGGGCUUGCCCCGGGGCAGAGCCGCGAACGGGUGAGUAACACGUGGGUUACCUGCCCCAAUGACCGGGACAACCCGAGGAAACUCGGGCUAAUACCGGAUGUGGUCUUCGGACGAAAGGAAGCUUCGGCCUCCGCAUUGGGAUGGGCCCGCGGCGCAUUAGCUUGUUGGUGGGGUAACGGCCUACCAAGGCGACGAUGCGUAGCUGGUCUGAGAGGACGAUCAGCCACACUGGGACUGAGACACGGCCCAGACUCCUACGGGAGGCAGCAGUGGGGAAUCUUGCGCAAUGCGCGAAAGCGUGACGCAGCAACGCCGCGUGGGGGAAGAAGGCCUUCGGGUUGUAAACCUCUUUCAGUUGGGACGAAGCUUCCCGGGUUAAUAGCCUGGCGGAGUGACGGUACCUUCAGAAGAAGCCCCGGCUAACUACGUGCCAGCCGC